rnacentral:rRNA from 1 species
GACGAACGCUGGCGGCGUGCCUAAUACAUGCAAGUCGAACGCAGGGGGGACGGGGGAGUAACACGUGGGUAACCUCCAAUCAGAGGGGAUAACACUUGGAAACAGGUGCUAAACCGAUACUGAUGGAUGGACCAGCGGUGCAUUAGCUAGUGGGUGAGGUAACGGCUCACCAAGGCCACGAAGCAUAGCCGGCCUGCUGGGGUGAUCGGCCACACUGGGACUGAGACCCGGCCCAGACCCCUACGGGAGGAAGCAGUCGGGAAUCUUCGGCAAUGGACGAAAGUCUGACCGAGCAACGCCGCGUGAGUGAAGAAGGUUUUCGGAUCGUAAAACUCUGUUGUUAGAGAAGCGGUAUCUAACCAGAAAGCCACGGCUAACUACGUGACAGCAGCCGCGGUAAUUC